ACAAGGGGCUGUGCACAGAGAGAGAAUAUGUGAAUGAAGAGAGAGAGAGGGUGACCAGAACUUGACAGUGUUCCAGAAGAGGCCUCAUCAACAUCCUGUACAACCUAAUGUUUGUCUCUGUGUGUGUCCCAAGGACCAGACUAUAGAGCACAGAGUUCUGCAUCAUGGAGCUGCUCGGGAUGAACGCCAACAAAAAGCCUCCGAACUUCCUUUGCCUCUGGAAUGUUCCUUUACAAUGUGUUGUCUCAGCCUCCCUGCAGCCAAUUUGAGGGCAACCUAAGGUUGGUUUAGACUGUGAGCUGGCUGCUUUCGAUGUCAGUGCAUUCCACAGUGUUUAAAGGUGCCCGGUGCAGCAAGGAGAGAGUGUGCUACUGGGAAAGUUGUUGCAUUUCAGAGUAUGAUCAGAAGAGACGAAGGUUUGAAAACAUGUAUGAACAGAUUCAAGGGCAGCUUCUUCCCCACUGUCACACACUCAUAAAUUGAUCUCUCAUAUGUUAGAGUUGGCCUUUCUUUGCACCUUCUCUGUAGCUGUAACAAUAUAUUUUGCAUUCUAUUCUAUUGGCAUAACAUGUAUAUGUAGGUUAUGAU